rnacentral:rRNA from 1 species
AGAGUUUGAUCCUGGCUCAGAACGAACGCUGGCGGCGUGGAUAAGACAUGCAAGUCGAACGCGACUUAUCGGGUUAGCAAUAACUCGGUAAGUUGAGUGGCGAAAGGGUGCGUAACACGUGGGAAUUUACCAAGAAGUGGGGAAUAGCUCGGCGAAAGCCGAAUUAAUACCGCAUAUGAUCGCAAGAUCAAAGCCGGGGACCGCAAGGCCUGGCGCUUUUUGAGAAGCCCGCGGCCCAUCAGCUAGUUGGUGAGGUAACGGCUCACCAAGGCUAUGACGGGUAGCUGGUCUGAGAGGACGACCAGCCACACUGGAACUGAGACACGGUCCAGACACCUACGGGUGGCAGCAGUCGAGAAUUUUUCACAAUGGACGAAAGUCUGAUGGAGCGACGCCGCGUGGAGGAUGAAGGUUUUCGGAUUGUAAACUCCUGUCACUACAGAACAAGGGCGCAUCAGUUAACAGCCGGUGCGCUUGAUGGUAUGUGGAGAGGAAGGGACGGCUAACUCUGUGCCAGCAGCCGCGGUAAGACAGAGGUCCCGAGCGUUGUUCGGAUUCAUUGGGCGUAAAGGGUGUGUAGGAGGUCGGGUAAGUCAGGUGUGAAAUCUCAGAGCUUAACUCUGAAACUGCGCUUGAUACUGCCCGGCUAGAGGAUCGGAGGGGGUAACGGAAUUCAUGGUGUAGCAGUGAAAUGCGUAGAUAUCAUGAGGAACACCGGUGGCGAAGGCGGUUACCUGGAAGAUUCCUGACUCUGAAACACGAAAGCCAGGGGAGCAAACGGGAUUAGAUACCCUAGUAGUCC